UAUGAAUACAAACUAGCAGUGGUGUCUU
rnacentral:piRNA from 1 species